GAACGCUGGCGGCGUGCUUAACACAUGCCAGUCGAACGGAAAGGCCCUGCUUUUGUGGGGUGCUCGAGUGGCGAACGGGUGAGUAACACGUGAGUAACCUGCCCUUGACUUUGGGAUAACUUCAGGAAACUGGGGCUAAUACCGGAUAGGAGCUCCUGCUGCAUGGUGGGGGUUGGAAAGUUUCGGCGGUUGGGGAUGGACUCGCGGCUUAUCAGCUUGUUGGUGGGGUAGUGGCUUACCAAGGCUUUGACGGGUAGCCGGCCUGAGAGGGUGACCGGCCACAUUGGGACUGAGAUACGGCCCAGACUCCUACGGGAGGCAGCAGUGGGGAAUAUUGCACAAUGGGCGGAAGCCUGAUGCAGCAACGCCGCGUGCGGGAUGACGGCCUUCGGGUUGUAAACCGCUUUCGCCUGUGACGAAGCGUGAGUGACGGUAAUGGGUAAAGAAGCACCGGCUAACUACGUG
rnacentral:rRNA from 1 species